GAGAUUUUUGCAAGUAUUAACCAGAAGGACGGUAUGGUCAGUUUCCAUGAUAACCCUGAAAAAUAUAAUAACCCAGCCAUGCUUCAUAACAUUGAUCAGGAGAGUAUGGGCUCACAAGAAGAUGAUUCAGGAAACAAACCAUCCAGUUAUUCUUGAAACUAACAUCCAUCCUGAGCUAAACAAGAGAAACUACCAUCUUGGCCAGUGACAAGUGUUCGGAGGGCAGCAGAGAGGACCAAGCCUGUGUCACCUGGAGACUAAGAAAUUAAGUUUUGUUUUGACAUCUUCAGUCCUGUGUGCUUUCAGAAAACCAUUUUCUCUGCAAAGAAAGGAAACAGAUUUGCAAACUUUAAAGUCUGUCGUGGAUUUAUUUAUCCUCAGAUUAUUGUUACUGCAUUAAAUCUACCUUUUUGUUUUAA
rnacentral:lncRNA from 1 species